AUUGAACGCUGGCGGCCGGCCUAACACAUGCACGUCGAGCGGAGCGGCGGACGGGUGAGUAAUGCCUAGGAAUCUGCCUGUUAGUGGGGGAUAACGUCCGUAAACGGGCGCUAAUACCGCAUACUAUCAGAUGAGCCUAGGUUGGAUUAGAUAAUUGGUGGGGUAAAGGCCUACCAAGGCGACGAUCCGUAACUGGUCUGAGAGGAUGAUCAGUCACACUGUAACUGAGACACGGUCCAGACUCCUACGGGAGGCAGCAGUGGGGAAUAUUGGACAAGGGGCGAAGGCCUGAUCCAUCCAUGCCGCGUGUGUGAAGAAGGUCUUCGGAUUGUAAAGCACUUUCAGCGGGGAGGCGUUACCCGCAGAAGAAGCACCGGCUAACUCCGUGCCAGCAGCCGCGGUAAUUC
rnacentral:rRNA from 1 species